rnacentral:rRNA from 1 species
GGCUAUCUGAUUUGCUUAUUGCACCACAUGUGUUUUUCUUUGAAACAAACUUGCUUUGGCGGUGGGCCCAGCCUGCCGCCAGAGGUCUAAACUUACAACCAAUUUUUUAUCAACUUGUCACACCAGAUUAUUACUAAUAGUCAAAACUUUCAACAACGGAUCUCUUGGUUCUCGCAUCGAUGAAGAACGCAGCGAAAUGCGAUACGUAAUAUGAAUUGCAGAUAUUCGUGAAUCAUCGAAUCUUUGAACGCACAUUGCGCCCUCUGGUAUUCCGGAGGGCAUGCCUGUUUGAGCGUCGUUUCUCCCUCAAACCGCUGGGUUUGGUGUUGAGCAAUACGACUUGGGUUUGCUUGAAAGACGGUAGUGGUAAGGCGGGAUCGCUUUGACAAUGGCUUAGGUCUAACCAAAAACAUUGCUUGCGGCGGUAACGUCCACCACGUAUAUCUUCAAACUUUGACCUCAAAUCAGGUAGGACUACCCGCUGAACUUAAGCAUAUCAAUAAGCGGAGGAA